GAUGAACGCUGGCGGCGUGCUUAACACAUGCAAGUCGAACGAUGAAGCCCAGCUUGCUGGGUGGAUUAGUGGCGAACGGGUGAGUAACACGUGAGUAACCUGCCCUUAACUCUGGGAUAAGCCUGGGAAACUGGGUCUAAUACCGGAUAGGAGCGCCUACCGCAUGGUGGGUGUUGGAAAGAUUUAUCGGUUUUGGAUGGACUCGCGGCCUAUCAGCUUGUUGGUGAGGUAAUGGCUCACCAAGGCGACGACGGGUAGCCGGCCUGAGAGGGUGACCGGCCACACUGGGACUGAGACACGGCCCAGACUCCUACGGGAGGCAGCAGUGGGGAAUAUUGCACAAUGGGCGAAAGCCUGAUGCAGCGACGCCGCGUGAGGGAUGACGGCCUUCGGGUUGUAAACCUCUUUCAGUAGGGAAGAAGCGAAAGUGACGGUACCUGCAGAAGAAGCACCGGCUAACUAUGUG
rnacentral:rRNA from 1 species